UGGACCCUACUUUUGAACUAAAGAUAGUCUUUCUUACUAGCCAUAAGUCAUUCCCACUUGUGCUGUUAUAAAAUAUUAAAUACAUUUAAACUAAUCUCUCCUAAGGGAAUAAAAAUGGGAUAUUUCUUUCAACAUAUUUAGCACACCACGCUUUGUAAUGAACUUCAGUCUUGUUUCCAGUGUUGAAUCAUGGACCUCUGAAGAAGCGAAUGUUUCUCAACACCAUUUGCUCUUCUCACCAAGGCUUUGGGAAGUAGCAGCCUCUGGUUCAGCUAGGAAAAUGUGAUGCUUCUCUUGCAGAUUUCACUGAUUUUUCUAUCAAGGCUCUCUUGUUGCCCAAAUCAGUGGUUAAAUGACUUCAGUGUCUCUUAAGAUACUCAAAUGCAUACUUUACUGAUUUAGAGAAUACUGAUAGAUCCCAACAGAGUGGGUGGUGAAUGAAUAUGAUCUCUCUUUAGCUUUCAAGAAAGAUUUAUAAAGAUUUUUGGUUUCCUUUUCUGGCUCACUUUAUGGCUAGAUAAUACACUCUGAAUUGUUAUGGUUCUGUUCUGCCUACGAUGGGACGGUUGGCUGCUGGUUUGUUGUCAUGGUUGCUCUAAUCUAAUAUUAUAGAUUCUCUUCAAAUCUAGCAAAUGCCAGUAACUACUUCUGUAAAUUUGGAGCAACAGUUAUAUUUUGUGUAUCAGUUUUGUCAUUUGUAAAUGGGAAUGGUAGUACUUAUUGCAUGAGUAGUUUGGAGGUUUAUGAAACAUUGUGAAAAUUAAGUGCUUAACACAGUACUUAGUCACAACAGACAUUUAACGAAUAGCUAUUCAGAUUAUUAUGUAAUGUUAUAUACAUUAUGUUAUAUAAAAAUUUUAUAUUCAGAUUUCUGGAAAUGCAUACUUGACAAUUUGACCAGAGAGGAAGCCUCGUAUAUCUGUCUUACUAUGAUAUUUUUUAGUUUUCUAAGCCCAAUAUCUGACAUACCUGAGAACAAAAACAUAGUAGACUAUUAUGAUUAGAUGAGUUGACUGUUUUGAUCCUAUUUUAAUAGCAUAUAAUAUGGUAUUGUGUUAUACCACUUUAAUGCAGACCUUGGAAUGAUUAUAGCAGUUUUUUUUUGUUGUUUUUUUUAAAAAGGCAAGUAAGAUAUUUACUGACAUCUUUAGGUUCGUAUAUCAUUGGCUGAAGUCUGCAGAUCAUUGAGCACAGUCCAUGUCCAGAGAAGGUUACAAGCACUAAUAACAUGCUGAGUGUUUCACAAAUGAAGUCAACAUCAUUUGAAAUGAAAAUCCCUUUAAUGUAAUAGUAUGGACUAACCUACUAUCUUUAACAGUUACUAAGGAAAUAGACAAUCUGCCCUCAUGAAAGAGAGAAGAAAAUAUUAUCAAGCACUUAUAUUGAGCUAUGUAUUUUCAUUUAUAUAUCUCAAUUAACUUACUAAAAACCUUAUAUAUUUUAUACAUUAUUAGAUGAGGUAACAGAAAAUCAUAGAAGUUAAUGAACUUUUCCGAAAUUGGACACAUAAAUGAAUAGUGUAGCUGGAAUUCUUCUCAAUAUAAUAUUUCACGUUCUAGGCAGUAAAAAAGUUAACAUAACCAAGCUAAAAAUAGGAAUUGGUUAUUAUUCAUUCCAUACAUUAAAUACUUGUUGCUAGUUGAUAACUGUUAGAAAAUGCAGUCAAAUAGUUGGUUAUUAGAAGUGGAAAGUGUUUAGAGGGGAGAUGUAUAAUUUCUCAAAUCUCCUUUUUCUUCUUUUUGUGACUUAUUUUUAAAGAAUUUAGAAAAGAGGUUUUUAAGAUAUUAACAGAUUUCUAAAUGAAAUCUCGUGUCAAGAAAUAACAAGGGGAGUUCCCGUUGUGGCGCAGUGGUUAACGAAUCCGACUAGGAACCAUGAGGUUGCGGGUUUGGUCCCUGCCCUUGCCAGUGGGUUAAUGAUCCGCGUUGCCAUGAGCUGUGGUGUAGGUUGCAGACGCGGCUCGGAUCCCGCGUUGCUGUGGCUCUGGCGUAGGCCGGUGGCUACAGCUCUGAUUCCACCCCUAGCCUGGGAACCUCCAUAUGCCGCGGGUGCGGCCCAAGAAAUAGCAACAACAACAACAACAACAAAAAAGACAAAAAAAAAAAAAAAAAAAAGAAAGAAAUAACAAGGCCUUAGAAAUGAUAAAAUGUUUUAUUAAAUGCAAGUCCAUCGUAAUUAGUAGUCUAACAAAAUUAUGGCUCCAAUUUUGGGUAUUCUAAGUGAGUUAUUAAUUUUUUGACAUUAAAUAGAUCAAGAGAUUUGUGUUCCAAGACACAAACUUUUUUUUUUUUUUUUUUUCAUUUUAUGGCUAUACCUGUGGCAUACAGAAGUUCUUAGGCCAGGGAUCAAAUUGGAGCUGCAGUUAUGGCCUAUGCUACAGCAAUAGCAACACCAGAUCCGAGCUGCAUAUGGGACCUAUACCACACUUGUGGUAAUGCCCGAGGUAUCUUUGACCCACUGAGUGAGGCCAGGGAUCAAACCCUCAUUCUCACAUAGACAAUGUUGUAUCCUUAACCCAUUGAGCUACAACAGGAACUCCCCCAAGACACAGACUUUUAAUUUCAAUUCUUCCACUAACUCUAACUUGGUGACUUAGGAAAUUUUUUCACUUCUGCCUCUGCUUCUCUAUUGAUAAAAUAUUAAUUAUGAUGUCCUACUUCAUCAAAAUAAUAAAUUAGUAAAUAUAGUAGAAUUAUUUUGACUAUUAAGAUUAUAAAAAGUGAAGUUUGAGGUGUUAAUACAAUCUAAGCCUACUGAAUUUCAAAUUUUAUGAAACUUUUUUAUUAAAAAACUAUUGUGGAUAAUGUAAAGUAUUUCACUGAAGCAGUAAUGUCAUUUUAAUAUUCAGUGAUGAUAUUAAAGGAUUUAGUAUUGCUAACCACAGUUUCUUGUUCCAUAAAAGGAUGAGCAUCUUUCCUUUAUUUUUUAGUACUCUUUUUAAAAGCACUACUCACAAGUUGAAUGUUUUUAAGGCUAGAGAAAAAAAAUCCUAAUGGAAAAGUAAAAUCUCAACUUCUUGGCCUGAAACCAUGUAACACUGUUUUUCAGAUGGGAAAAAAAGGCAGAGCAUAAGAUGUGAUGAACCCUUAAUACUAUAAGCUCCUCUAACUGAGAUGUGGUGGUAAUUGCUUUUUAUUUUUUUGUAACAUCUCCUGGAAAUGGUAAUGCUUUCAAGUGAGGAUCAAAGAGAAUGACCUACAUAAGAAAUAGAUUGCAACAUGUAGUUACAUUUUUCAUCCUUUGUAAUAUGCUUCUUGCAUCUACACUUCUAAUAAGAAACACAGCAUAAUGCUCAUCAUUUUUUAAAAUGAGUUGUCACUAAGGUCAGAUAGGAUACUUGGAAACUAGGAAAAAAAAAAUACGAUUUCAACCAGGGUGUUAAUGCCAACAGAUGGAUCACUAGAUGGAUCAGUCUUCACAUACCAGACUUGUACAUUUAAAGGAAAUAAGAUCAAAAACUCAUAAAAAUGUAGCAAUGUGUAUUUUUUUCCUGAAUUUUAUAUAUGCACAUAUUAUGUGUAUUUUGUAUAUAUAUAUUAUGUAUAGUUAUGAAUUAUAUAUAUACAUACAGAUAAUUAUCUAUUUCUGAUGCAGUGUGUGUGUGUGUAUGUAUCAUCACAGAUUUCUAAAAGAGUCAUUAAUAACAAAAUUACACUGUGUUUAAGCUUAAAAAUAAGUUUAAUUCACAGAUUUUUGUUGUUGCUUUUCCAGCCUUGAAUAUAACCAGUCAGGCAGUGUACCUCGAAAUCUGUGAUUACCGGUAAUUUUUGCAAGGGGAAAUAUCUCUUGCCAACUCAUCACAAUGAUAAAUUUAUGUAAUUAGUAUUAUGUUCCUUAAUGUACAAAAUUUCCUAGAGGAGUAGCACCUUAAAAUAUUAUUAGGUAAACCAACAUAUCAAAUAUUUUCAGUAACGAAAGUUGCCAGAGAAGACCAGAGGUUCUGUGGACAGUUUUACUGUCUAAAGAUUGGCAGAGAAGGAGUUCAGUGAUACCAGGAAAAAUACUAACCACCUAAUUCACAAUUUUUUCCCAAGGGCUCCUUUCCUCUACUGAUAAAUUAAAAAAUAACUGACACUAUAAUGUUCCUUUAAAAAAUGAUGUGGUCAUCUUCUGGUUUUUUUUGUAAAUGUCCUUGAUAGCAGAAGAAGGUGAAACUAUUUAGAAAUUGCCCAGGUUGGGUGAGUACAUUAAAAUAGUCACAUUUGUUUUGAUUGAAAAUGAUUCCUAUCCUGUCAAGAUAUCCAGAGUGGUGUUCUAUAGUUAUAAAAUCACUAUUCCUUCAAAAGGUAAAAUUAAUUUCUGCAUAGAGUCUAAAUGUAGGCUUCCAAAACCAUUUCAGGGAGGCCAGAAUGAGUUGUUGGUUGUCUGCCAACAUGCACUUAACAAUUUUGGGACAGGCAUAAAAUGCUAUAAGGAUCCGAAAGGAAAUAGAAAUGAAUCAGUCAAUAUGCCUGCAAUAAAAGGAAAUGCUUCAAUAAAGAGUUAGCUGCAUUUUAUUUUGUAUAACAGAUUUAUCCCUUCCAUAGAGUUUGAUAUAAAUUUCUUGAAUAUCUGUGUAUUGAAAUCUUAUUUGUCUUAUAGUCAUGAUACAAUUUGAUAUGUAUUUCUAGUAGAAUAAAUAUUGUUUCCAGGAAAUCUGCCUCAAACAACAAACCACUUAAUUAACUUAAUGAAAUGCUUAUCUGUUAGGAGAAUAGUAUUCAACUAAAACACAUUAUAUAUAAAAUAUUGAAAAAAUUAAUUUCAGCUGGAACUGGUCCUGAAUUUUGAGGGAAAUUGUCCACCUCACGGAAUAGGCUAUUUUGAAUUGAAACCCUUUAACUUCUGUUACAACAUCUUACUAAUGUUCUUCCCCGUAGACUCUGUUCAGGCUUGCACCUUAGUGAAAGUGAUACUUUUAGAAAUGAACAAAUCAAUUCUGAAUAAACUCAGGAGAUGAUAAAAAUAUAGUAUUUUUCCAAGCAAAUAUGAAAUGUUCUUCAUAAUUUCAAAAAUUAUCUAUUAAAGAACCUGAAAAUUCUUCAUUCAUAGUGCAAGAGCUCCUUCUGCUUAUUUUU
rnacentral:lncRNA from 1 species